rnacentral:tRNA from 1 species
GGGCUCGUAGCUCAUCGGUUAGAGCAUCUGUCUUAUAAACAGAAGGUGGGUGGUUCAACUCCACCCGAGCCUACCA